UAGGGAAUAUUGGGCAAUGGAGGGAACUCUGACCCAGCCAUGGCGCGUGCAGGAUGAAGGCGUUAUGCGUUGUAAACUGCUUUUAUAUAGGAAGAAAUAGUCCUUGCGAGGAAAGUUGACGGUACUAUAUGAAUAAGCACCGGCUAACUCCGUGCCAGCAGCCGCGGUAAUACGGAGGGUGCAAGCGUUGUCCGGAUUUAUUGGGUUUAAAGGGUGCGUAGGCGGUUUAUUAAGUCAGUGGUGAAAGACGGUCGCUCAACGAUUGCAGUGCCAUUGAUACUGGUAGACUUGAGUAUGAUUGAGGUAGCUGGAAUGGAUAGUGUAGCGGUGAAAUGCAUAGAUAUUAUCCAGAACACCAAUUGCGUAGGCAAGUUACUAAGUCAUAACUGACGCUGAGGCACGAAAGUGUGGGUAUCAAACAGGAUUAGAUACCCGAGUAGUCCCUGAGCGGGCUGGCAAGGCGCAU
rnacentral:rRNA from 1 species